rnacentral:rRNA from 1 species
AGCAGCCGCCGCGGGAAUACGUAGGGUGCAAGCGUUAAUCGGAAUUACUGGGCGUAAAGCGUGCGCAGGCGGUUAUAUAAGACAGAUGUGAAAUCCCCGGGCUCAACCUGGGAACUGCAUUUGUGACUGUAUAGCUAGAGUACGGCAGAGGGGGAUGGAAUUCCGCGUGUAGCAGUGAAAUGCGUAGAUAUGCGGAGGAACACCGAUGGCGAAGGCAAUCCCCUGGGCCUGUACUGACGCUCAUGCACGAAAGCGUGGGGAGCAAACAGGAUUAGAUACCCCAGUAGUCCCUGUCUCUUAUAC